rnacentral:misc_RNA from 1 species
GAAACAAGAAUAUGAUAUAACAGAGAACAGAAGGUUGACACAAAGUGCAUUAUUGCCUUUAAAUCAGGCAUGAGGCAACCCACCUUCCAUACAAACUUUCUUAAUGUAGCAUUCAAAAAGUUAAAAGCUGCUUCCCACAUGGCUAUUUAUGCUUUUAGAGCCUGUGUGUCUCAAUUAGGUGGAUUGGAUUUUAGAGAUUUCAAGGCAA